rnacentral:rRNA from 1 species
GUAGAGAGUUUGAUCMUGGCUCAGGAUGAACGCUGGCGGCGUGCUUAACACAUGCAAGUCGAACGAUGAUGCCAGCUUGCUGGUGGAUUAGUGGCGAACGGGUGAGUAACACGUGAGUAACCUGCCCUUAACUCUGGGAUAAGCCUGGGAAACUGGGUCUAAUACCGGAUAUGACUCCUCAUCGCAUGGUGGGGGUGGAAAGCUUUAUUGUGGUUUUGGAUGGACUCGCGGCCUAUCAGCUUGUUGGUGAGGUAAUGGCUCACCAAGGCGACGACGGGUAGCCGGCCUGAGAGGGUGACCGGCCACACUGGGACUGAGACACGGCCCAGACUCCUACGGGAGGCAGCAGUGGGGAAUAUUGCACAAUGGGCGMAAGCCUGAUGCAGCGACGCCGCGUGAGGGAUGACGGCCUUCGGGUUGUAAACCUCUUUCAGUAGGGAAGAAGCGAAAGUGACGGUACCUGCAGAAGAAGCGCCGGCUAACUACGUGCCAGCAGCCGCGGUAAUA